rnacentral:ncRNA from 1 species
GAAAACGGGGAGCUUGCACCAAGCAGGCUGAGAGUAAGCUGGAUCGCUUAGACCCAUAACCUGAUUUGGAUAAUGCCAACGUAGGGAUCAUAAGAUGAAU